GGUGGUGGAUUAGUGGCGAACGGGUGAGUAACACGUGGGCAAUCUGCCCUGCACUCUGGGACAAGCCCUGGAAACGGGGUCUAAUACCGGAUAUGACACGGGAUCGCAUGGUCUCCGUGUGGAAAGCUCCGGCGGUGCAGGAUGAGCCCGCGGCCUAUCAGCUUGUUGGUGGGGUGAUGGCCUACCAAGGCGACGACGGGUAGCCGGCCUGAGAGGGCGACCGGCCACACUGGGACUGAGACACGGCCCAGACUCCUACGGGAGGCAGCAGUGGGGAAUAUUGCACAAUGGGCGCAAGCCUGAUGCAGCGACGCCGCGUGAGGGAUGACGGCCUUCGGGUUGUAAACCUCUUUCAGCAGGGAAGAAGCGCGAGUGACGGUACCUGCAGAAGAAGCACCGGCUAACUACGUGCCAGCAGCCGCGGUAAUACGUAGGGUGCGAGCGUUGUCCGGAAUUAUUGGGCGUAAAGAGCUCGUAGGCGGCUUGUCGCGUCGGAUGUGAAAGCCCGGGGCUUAACCCCGGGUCUGCAUUCGAUACGGGCAGGCUAGAGUUCGGCAGGGGAGAUUGGAAUUCCUGGUGUAGCGGUGAAAUGCGCAGAUAUCAGGAGGAACACCGGUGGCGAAGGCGGAUCUCUGGGCCGAUACUGACGCUGAGGAGCGAAAGCGUGGGGAGCGAACAGGAUUAGAUACCCUGGUAGUCCACGCCGUAAACGUUGGGCACUAGGUGUGGGCGGCAUUCCACGUCGUCCGUGCCGCAGCUAACGCAUUAAGUGCCCCGCCUG
rnacentral:rRNA from 1 species